rnacentral:lncRNA from 1 species
UAUUAUAUUUAAGGGGGUUCGCGGGUCUAAAUCAUUUAUAUAGGAUUUCUCUAUAUUUUUCUAUAAAUGAACUUUAUCUUAUAGUUAAUAAGAAAAAUAAAUAAAAAAUGGGUCACCGUCAUUUGCGCUUACAACUGCCUUCGAAAGAGCAUACAUCUUUGUAAAAGUGAUUAUUUUCAGUUGAACUAAUAGGAGAAAUAAAGGUAAUAUGGAAAUAAAAAAAGAAAUUUAUUACAGAAUUCGCUCAAAUUUUACAAUAAUUUAGUUUAAGUACAGCAUAUAUCGAAAUUAUAUUAAAAAAUAUAGGUCACCGAUGAGUAAAAAGAGAUAUUUCAAUUUUAAAGCCAAAAAAUGGCAUUUUUCCACAAAGGAGA